GACGAACGCUGGCGGCGUGCCUAAUACAUGCAAGUCGAACGCAGUGGCGGACGGGUGAGUAACGCGUCGGUAACUGCCUAUUAGAGGGGGAUAACUAUUGGAAACGAUAGCUAAUACCGCAUACUAGAAUAUGGACCUGCGUUGUAUUAGCUAGUAGGUGGGGUAAGGGCCUACCUAGGCGCCGAUACAUAGCCGACCUGAGAUGGGUAGUGGCCACACUGGGACUGAGACACGGGCCAGAAUCCUACGGGAGGCAGCAGUAGGGAAACUUCGGCAAUGGGGGGAACCCUGACCGAGCAACGCCGCGUGAGUGAAGAAGGUUUUCGGAUCGUAAAGCUCUGUUGUUAAGGAAGCGGUACUUAACCAGAAAGGGACGGCUAACUACGUGCCAGCAGCCGCGGUAAUUC
rnacentral:rRNA from 1 species